rnacentral:lncRNA from 1 species
AUGUCAGAUCUGCAACACCAUUGAGAUUUUUAAAAAUGAUUAUUGGUGAAAUUAAAAAUCAUUUCCUGUAUUCUUUUGCCCUGGAACAUCUAAAAUGUCACAGUAUUUUACACAUAUGUACCAUGAAUACAUAUCUAUAGAUUCAUACUUACAUACUUAUAUAAUAUAUAUUUAUAUUUAGUAAACAGAUCUUUAAAGUAAUUGAAUUUUAUGUUUGAAGCAGUCUUGAAAGUCCACUUCCCUUUAUCAGAGAAAUAUCCUGAAAAAGACCAUAUGAUGUCACUGAAUGGGCCAGGGACCUCGCUUCUUCCAAGGAAUGUUGUGUGACUGUUGGACAAUUGACUUGUUUAUUCACUAAAUAUCAUGUCUUCACAUACAGUGGUUUCUCAAUAUGCACAAUAAGUUAACAAAUCCGAACACAUAAUUCUUAACUUUCACCCAUUAACCCCAAUAGCGCCUGUAGCGAUGCAAAGUGAGUCUUGUCCUCUGCUCCAUAAAACUCAGAGACAACUAUUUAGAGCUUCCAAGUCUUUGCUUUUUCGGUAUAAACACACCAAUAAUAGCUUUUCCCCAGGGCAAGAACUGUUUCACGAUGGAUGUUUAUCACAGUCCUAUCUCUCCUUUCUUCACAUACAGAGCACACAGUGAGGCAGCUGAAACAGACUCUGGGCUUACAUUUCCGCUGAUGAAAGCCAAGGUUUUAUCCAUCCUGUGAGUCCCAUCAGACUCUUAAGUUUCGCUGUCCUUAUGGUUAAAAUUGUUCCUGUUGUUGCAGUUCUUGCUUUUGCUUAUAGGUUUGCAUUUUUAGUUUUGGGGUUUUUUCCUCAUUAUUUACUGUUAAGCUAAGUUUUACACACCCUGUACUUUUAAAAUCAGGGAUGACAGAAAUACAGCGUGCUACCAUCAUGCCCCUACUGGCCCCUACCAACCCCUACGUAGACACUCAAUUAAUCACAGCUCUUCUUCUUGCAAGGUCCAGGUGCCAGCUCAGAACUUCCCUCCGGUCUUUUGGUGUCGACUCAUGAUACUUCAUUCAUCUCUUCAAAUCUAGACUUCAGGGUGUUCAUUCAAGCGUAUCACAUUUAACCAUGUUAGUUUGUACUGCUGCGUUAUUUGAGAUGUUUUUGAUUCCAGACUCUGCCAACUAACCUCUGAGCUAUUGUUCCCAACCAGCUCUCUGAAAAUGUGAUGAGCCUUUUUGCUUCUGUCUUCUUCCAGACUGUCCUAAUCUUCUUAGGACUAUUCUUCUGUUUUAAACACAUGAAUUUGGCAGACAAUUACUUAUCUUACAUUUCUUUCUGUUUUUAUGCUAAUAGACCUCCUUGUGGGCCUACUGGUUUUGGCCCUGUUUUCAACUAUUCCCUUGUCGACGAAAAUAAUCCAUAACCAAUCUGUAAAUGAAAAUUUGGGUGAGUUUAUUCUGAGCUGAAAUCCGAGGACCAUGGCCUGGGGCCUUUCUUCCCAAAGGAAGAAAGGGCACUGAAGAAGUGGGGUGCACAGAGUGGUUAUAUACCCCCAAACAGGGUGUUUCACAUAUGAUUGAAAUGUGCCUCCCACAAUAGUCACAAGAUUGCCCUGUCGGCACAGCGUUUGAUAGACACAGCAGGUAGUGGGUCUGCUAUCUCAGAGGGUGUAGCAGGAGGCAAGACUAUUGUCUCGAGCUGGGCGGUCACAGGUGAGCGCAGCAAUCAGUUUCUAGCCCAAGGAAAGAUGCUUAAUCCUUAAGGAGAUGCCAACAUUGGGAGGGGCAAGGAAGUUGCACCUUUAUCUCAAGGGCCUUUGUUCUUGCCAUAGGGAAUCUCUAAAGCAGAUAUACAAUGCAUGCUCAGCAGCCACGGUCAGGCCCUUUUGGAAAGACAAGGUCAGGCCGAAUUAGGUUUAUACCAAAUGGCUUCCUCAUAUUCUCCAAUAUAUCCUAUUGCUUGCCAUUUUUAUUUGUCACCCUUCUCCUAAACUUUCUUUUCUAGAAGUUUCUUCCUUUCUAUCCAUGUGAUCAUAACGUUACCACCGAAGGGGAGUCAUCUGCUUGCAGCAAGACAUGCCAAUAAGGCAAGGUGGUAGGAGAGAAAGGACUUUAUUAUAGCUUGCUAGCAAGAGGGAACAUGGCUGACAUGUCUGAAAGAACCAUCUCACAGAACAAAGACAACAGGCCAGUUAUAUACAGUCUAUAUAUAUAUAACUGUAUAUAUAUAUAACUGCCUAUAUAUAUAUAACUUAUAUAUAUAUAACUGUACCUAUAUGUACAGUUAUAUACAGCCGGUCUCCAGGUAGGGGAGGCAGCUGGUCUCUGGGUGGGGCAGACGUCUGGUCCUAGUUCUUAAUAACCCUUUGUUUACUGUAUACGCAUCAGAGAAUGAAGCAAUGCCUAUACCCUGAUCUUUCCAUUGUCAUUGAUGAUGGCUAUCAGCAUGGGCUCUCUGCCCAGGGGUCAUCACAUUCCUAAGGAACUCAAAAGAGCAAAGGUAUCAUCUUAAAGCAGCUGGGGGGGUGGGGCACAAAAUCUACAGAGCAUGUCUGGGCUAGUUAGUCAGAGGUCAAUUAAAGUUACGCUAUGGUUUCUUUUCUAUGAUGUGUCUUGCCUUAUGUCAACCUUGUGUUGAGCUGGUAUCAAUAGGUGUGGAGAUAGGCAAGGUAAUUUUUAUAAAGAGGGAACUGUUGGCAUUAGGAAAUGAUCAAUUUUUGUGUUUUUACUUUCCUGAGUAAAAAUUCAGCAUCUGUAAACUUACAGUCCUUAAAAUAGUUAUAAGGUUUCUAACUUUGAUCUUGGGUCAAUUAGCUUGUUUCUUCUAUUCUUUAUCUUUGAGGAUUAUUUACCUUAAUUGAAGAGAUAAGAGCCAAAGAAAGAAAAAUCUCUGCAGCUGAAAUCAAUUUAUUUGGUCUCCAUGAUAUUUUAGAGGAUUGAAAAGAAACUAUUUUCGCAGAAUUGCAAUGAUGUAGUUCCACGGCCCCGUGUCUGUCAACAGCACCAUUUGGAGAAAGUUUGGUUCAAAGGAAGGAAGAAUCAAAGAGACAAACAUGCAGGGCCCGUGCCUGCUGCCCUGCCGUCUUCAGCUGGUGCUGAGGUCCUUGCCGCAAAGAUGAGAGCUGGGACGUGAUGGAGACGGCAGCUCGAGAAUGGUUGACUUUCCCUGCUGGGUAAUUUUCCUUAUUGCCCCAAUUGAUGACAAAGAAUCGGAGUGCAGUGCCUAAUUCUUCACCAUAAACUACCUAAGGUGUGUGGACAAACUCGGAAAGAGCAACAUGGAGACAGUUGCUAAUGGUCUCCAUCUAUCCACAGGAUGAAAGGGAGCAGACACGUGGAAUGGUUGACAGGAAUAAAGGGAAAAAGUGCUACUUAUGUGCUAGAAACCAAAUAAAAAUUUUCCAUAUCUAUGUACUUUAUAAACUAUUUUUUAAAUCAGAAUACAGCAUAAUGAAAAAUUUAAAAGUCCAAAGCUCCACUCUAUUUCUAAUGUUUUUCACUGUAAAAAUUAUUAAGAUCCAUCCUUUUUGACAUAUUGGC